GAGAACUAACAUAACUCUCAGAAUUUCUCUAGCAGAUUUUCUGACCAAAGUCAGAAAAAUCCAA